rnacentral:rRNA from 1 species
GCAUAUCAAUAAGCGGAGGAAAAGAAACCAACCGGGAUUGCCUUAGUAACGGCGAGUGAAGCGGCAAAAGCUCAAAUUUGAAAUCUGGUACCUUCGGUGCCCGAGUUGUAAUUUGGAGAGGGCAACUUUGGGGCCGUUCCUUGUCUAUGUUCCUUGGAACAGGACGUCAUAGAGGGUGAGAAUCCCGUGUGGCGAGGAGUGCGGUUCUUUGUAAAGUGCCUUCGAAGAGUCGAGUUGUUUGGGAAUGCAGCUCUAAGUGGGUGGUAAAUUCCAUCUAAAGCUAAAUAUUGGCGAGAGACCGAUAGCGAACAAGUACAGUGAUGGAAAGAUGAAAAGAACUUUGAAAAGAGAGUGAAAAAGUACGUGAAAUUGUUGAAAGGGAAGGGCAUUUGAUCAGACAUGGUGUUUUGUGCCCUCUGCUCCUUGUGGGUAGGGGAAUCUCGCAUUUCACUGGGCCAGCAUCAGUUUUGGUGGCAGGAUAAAUCCAUAGGAAUGUAGCUUGCCUCGGUAAGUAUUAUAGCCUGUGGGAAUACUGCCAGCUGGGACUGAGGACUGCGACGUAAGUCAAGGAUGCUGGCAUAAUGGUUAAAUGCCGCCCGUCUUGAAACACGGACC